AGAACGAACGCUGGCGGCAGGCCUAACACAUGCAAGUCGAACGCCCCGCAAGGGGAGUGGCAGACGGGUGAGUAACACGUGGGAACCUUCCUAUUAGUAUGGAAUAGACCAGGGAAACUUGGAUUAAUACCGUAUACGCCCUAAGGGGGAAAGAUUUAUCGCUAAUAGAUGGGCCCGCGUAAGAUUAGCUAGUUGGUGAGGUAAUGGCUCACCAAGGCUACGAUCUUUAGCUGGUUUGAGAGAAUGAUCAGCCACACUGGAACUGAGACACGGUCCAGACUCCUACGGGAGGCAGCAGUGGGGAAUAUUGGACAAUGGGGGCAACCCUGAUCCAGCCAUGCCGCGUGAAUGAUGAAGGCCUUCGGGUUGUAAGUUCUUUUAGUGGAGAAAAUAAUGAUGGUAUCCACAGAAAAGCCCGGCUAACUUCGCGCCAGCAGCCGC
rnacentral:rRNA from 1 species